AGCGAAAGUGACUAACUUAAUCUGAACAGGCGCUUACAGGCAUUAGAUGAGUGGUGUAUAAAAUGGGACAUGGAAAUGAACUACAGCAAGACAACAUUUACGCAUAUUCACUCAAGUGGGCGGGAAUCGUCAUUCAUGUAUCAUGUCGGAAAUCGCCCUUUAAAUACUAAUGCCACUUGUUUCCAAAUACUUAGCAGUUAGUAUUAUGCACACAUUGAAAUGGCACUAACAUACAGAAACAAAAAACUGUAUUUCCUAAAGAAAAACUGGAACAUCUCACCGGAUGUAAGACUAACGGCUUACAAAACAUUCACACGACCAGACUUAGGGUACGCUAGUAUUGUGUGGUUGCCUCACCAGAUGGUUUUGUGGACAAAAAUUGAGAGGAUACAAAAAUUAGCAGUCCGGUUGAUGUGC
rnacentral:lncRNA from 1 species